AGAAACUAUCCAUGGAAAAAAAUCAAACACACAGCAAUGAGAAAAAACAAGAACCAGGAAACUUGAAGUGGUAUAAAGGCAGGAUGAUUGGCAGGUCAGACAAAUAUAUGGCUCAUAAGUAAUGCUUACUUCCCACAUUUACUUGAUUCAGUGUGUUUGGUUGAGGCUUCUAAAGAAGCUAUUGUGAGCUAUGGCUAUGAAAAAAAUGAUGUGGGCUGCGGGCUGUGAAAAAGUUAUAAACUAUUUGGUUCAAACACUAAAAUCUACUUCCUGUCUCUACCUAAAAGUGAAAAGCUCUAUUUUCACCAUUUCAAAUGCAGAAAGCCAAAAGCAGGGUUCAACGUCGUACUCCUUUGGUUGAACACCACCCACUUGUUAUUACACAUAAAACAGUUCUUUUUUCCUUCUCGCAAGUUCAUCUUCCCGUCGCUCGCCACUUGCUGCUCCAACAAAGCCUGCAUCUGCUCCCGCUCCUGACAGCCCUCUCCCUCCCUGACACUGACCCUGGAAGUGACGAUACCCUCCCCUCUCCAACCUGCCACUCCAGCUCCCACUCCAUGGCCGCGCGAGCAGGGGCCAUGCCCUCCAUGACCCUCCCAGUCCCAAGCUAGCCAUGCUGACCACACCCAGCUGGCCGCUUGCUCUGGCAAUUAUUUUCUUUUUUAUAGGAGGAAGAAAAGACUUCACACAACUAUUUGAUUCAUCAUUCCUUGCCACUUCUUUACGAAAACACAGCAUCAGCAGUGCACCAAUAUUCAUCAAUGGGUUACUUAUAAAAGGUUAGCAGAAUGCAGACGAACACUGUUGUGGACUGGCAGGUCAGACAGAAUGUAUGCCUCAAAAGUUAAGCUCAUAAGAUAGCUUCGCACAUCUAAUUGGUUCAUCACUCCUGCCAACCAGAUGCACUGAAUGCAAUUGAAACAAAGACCACUUCUUUAUGAAAACACAGCAUCAGCAGUGCACCAAUAUUCAACAAUGGGUUACUUAUAAAAGGUUAGCCGAAUGCAGACGAACACUGUUGUGGACUGGCAGGUCAGACAGAAUGUAUGCCUCAAAAGUUAAGCUCAUAAGAUAGCUUCGCACAUCUAAUUGGUUCAUCACUCCUGCCAACCAGAUGCACUGAAUGCAAUUGAAACAAAGACCACUUCUUCAUGAAAACACAGCAGCAGCAGUGCACCAAUAUUCAACAAUGGGUUACUUAUAAAAGGUUAGCAGAAUGCAGACGAACACUGAUGUGGACUGGCAGGUCAGACAGAAUGUAUGCCUCAAAAGUUAAGCUCACAAGAUAGCUUCGCACAUCUAAUUGGUUCAUCACUCCUGCCAACCAGAUGCACUGAAUGCAAUUGAAACAAAGACCGCUUCUUUAUGAAAACACAGCAUCAGCAGUGCACCAAUAUUCAACAAUGGGUUACUUAUAAAAGGUUAGCAGAAUGCAGACGAACAAUGUUGUGGACUGGCAGGUCAGACAGAAUGUAUGCCUCAAAAGUUAAGCCCAUAAGAUAGCUUCGCACAUCUAAUUGGUUCAUCACUCCUGCUAACCAGAUGCACUGAAUGCAAUUGAAACAAAGACCACUUCUUCAUGAAAACACAGCAGCAGCAGUGCACCAAUAUUCAAUAAUGGGUUACUUAUAAAAGGUUAGCAGAAUGCAGACGAACACUGUUGUGGACUGGCAGGUCAGACAGAAUGUAUGCCUCAAAAGUUACGCUCAUAAGAUAGCUUCGCACAUCUAAUUGGUUCAUCACUCCUGCCAACCCAAUGCACUGAAUGCAAUUGAAACAAAGAUAGUGGAUUGUCACAAGUGGACACAAACUGAUUGCUAUGAAACAAAGAUAAUGGGUAGUCACAAGUGAACGCAAAGGAAUGGGAAAUGUCCCACCCGUGAAAAUCAACUGCUGGAGUGGACUAGGCAGAUGACAAAGUAUGGGUGGGUGUCAAUCUCUGGAGCCAUGGGUGAACCCAAUGCCACACAUAUAGGUCGGCGAGUCAAUAACCCAC
rnacentral:lncRNA from 1 species